rnacentral:rRNA from 1 species
AUGGUAUAUAUAUGGGAGUACAGGGAUCCGUGGGACGAGGCCAAGGUGUAUGUGCGCAACCUUCCCUACGACGUUAGCAGCGAGCGCCUUGUGCAGCUCUUCCGGCAGGACGUCGUCGUCGAGGUCACCGAGUCGAUAUGUGGUAUUGGUGACAGAAGGUGCAUCACGCGCUUGGGUAUUUUCCUCCGCACGAGGUAA